CAGGGUUAUUUAGGACUAUUGAGCAAUCGCUAUGUUUAUUGACCUAUCUUUCACCUAUCGAUGAAAUAAAGUCUUUUAUUUAAUAACGACAAUUCCCUUUAAAAAUCUUGCGCAGUUUUUCAACACGUGUUAUUCUCCUUUCGUUCAUUAACUCAAAUAAUGUAUUAAAAUAUUUAAACAAUUUGAUCACUUUGACGAGCUAUUUAAAGGCGAUAAAUUAUCGUUUCUUCAUUGUUAAAAGUAAUCAAAUGCCUCCAAAGCAAUUAUUAAAAUUUUUAACUUUACUUUUAAAUUUAUUGAUUCAAAUCAGUUAUUCUGUUGGCGACGAAUCUGCUGCUCUAAGGAUUUGUAACAGUUUCGAAAAUAGAAUGCGGUGUAGUACGUGUAACCACAACCAGAGAAGUUGUUCUCAAAAUUCUGAUUGCCAUUGUUCUAGAGCAAGAAUGGAAGUUUGCUGCCUCACAGCGGAAAGAGGAAUAGGCUGUUGUGUGAACAUACCCGUACCUUUACCUUUAGGUUAAACUUGAAAAUGACAUAAUUUGAUUUUAAACACUAAUGAAAUGAAUUGCUUAAUUACGGAAAUCUUUUCAAUGUGCCUAGAUCAUUUUGCUUAACAUACAGGAAUGAAUUAGUUUAUAUUAUCUGUGCAAUAUGUGUAUAAAAUGUUGAUGUAAAACCUUAUAAAUUUUUAAUGAUGAGUGUAAAUAAAAUUCCUUUGUGUUAA